UACGUAGGGUGCAAGCGUUGUCCGGAAUUAUUGGGCGUAAAGAGCUCGUAGGCGGUCUGUCACGUCGGAUGUGAAAAUCCAGGGCUUAACCCUGGACCUGCAUUCGAUACGGGCAGACUAGAGUUCGGUAGGGGAGACUGGAAUUCCUGGUGUAGCGGUGAAAUGCGCAGAUAUCAGGAGGAACGCCGGUGGCGAAGGCGGGUCUCUGGGCAUUACCUGACGCUGAGGAGCGAAAGUGUGGGGAGCGAACAGG
rnacentral:rRNA from 1 species